AUUGAACGCUGGCGGCAUGCUUUACACAUGCAAGUCGAACGGUAACAGGCCGCAAGGUGCUGACGAGUGGCGAACGGGUGAGUAAUGCAUCGGAACGUGCCCAGUCGUGGGGGAUAACGCAGCGAAAGCUGCGCUAAUACCGCAUACGAUCUAUGGAUGAAAGCGGGGGACCGUAAGGCCUCGCGCGAUUGGAGCGGCCGAUGUCAGAUUAGGUAGUUGGUGGGGUAAAGGCUCACCAAGCCAACGAUCUGUAGCUGGUCUGAGAGGACGACCAGCCACACUGGGACUGAGACACGGCCCAGACUCCUACGGGAGGCAGCAGUGGGGAAUUUUGGACAAUGGGCGCAAGCCUGAUCCAGCAAUGCCGCGUGCAGGAAGAAGGCCUUCGGGUUGUAAACUGCUUUUGUACGGAACGAAACGGUCCUGGUUAAUACCUGGGGCUAAUGACGGUACCGUAAGAAUAAGCACCGGCUAACUACGUGCCAGCCGCCGCGGUAAUAC
rnacentral:rRNA from 1 species